UACUAGAGUAGCACUCGCAUAUCAAUAAGCGGAGGAAAAGAAACUAACAAGGAUUCCCCUAGUAACGGCGAGUGAAGCGGGAAGAGCUCAAAUUUGAAAUCUUAAAGGGUUUCCCUUUACGAAUUGUAGUUUAAAGAAGUGUUUUCUGUUGAGGUUUUGGUAAAAGUUCUUUGGAAUAGGACAUCAUAGAGGGUGAGAAUCCCGUAUUUGACCUUUACCUUCAACUUUGUGAUACACUUUCAAAGAGUCGGAUUGUUUGGGAAUGCAGUCCAAAAUGGGUGGUAAAUUUCAUCUAAAGCUAAAUAUUGGCGAGAGACCGAUAGCGAACAAGUACCGUGAGGGAAAGAUGAAAAGAACUUUGAAAAGAGAGUUAAACAGUACGUGAAAUUGUCAAAAGGGAAGCGUCUGACACCAGUGUUGUUUUUCUGAAAAUCAAUUAAAGAACUGUUUAUGCUAAGCUGUUUAGACUUUAUCAGCUAUCUGUUUAGUUUUGAGCUUUUCUUUAAUGCACUUUUCAGUUAACAAGUCAACAUCAAUUUCUUUUGCUGUAAAAAAGCUUGAGGAAAGGUGGCAUGAGAUUCGUCUUAAGUGUUUAUAGCCUCUUGCCUAUGCAGUCGGAGAGAUUGAGGUCUGCAGCGUAGAUCCUUCGGGGCUAAAUGCAUUUGUGCUAAGUUAUAGCAUUUUAUAGACAACUUGUUGACUAUGAUUUGUCUUGUAGCUUACUCGCUUAUGUUAUUUUACCUACGCUUAGGAUGUUGAGUAGCGACAUACGCAC
rnacentral:rRNA from 1 species